CAAGCGUUGUUCGGAAUUACUGGGCGUAAAGGGUUCGUAGGUGGCCAACUAAGUCAGACGUGAAAUCCCUCAGCUUAACUGGGGAACUGCGUCUGAGACUGGAUGGCUUGAGUGCAGGAGAGGAACGCGGAAUUCCAGGUGUAGCGGUGAAAUGCGUAGAUAUCUGGAGGAACACCGGUGGCGAAGGCGGCGUUCUGGACUGCAACUGACACUGAGGAACGAAAGCCAGGGGAGCAAACGGG
rnacentral:rRNA from 1 species